rnacentral:rRNA from 1 species
AUGCAUCGUGUGCGCGUCGUGCGUGCCUCACCUCCGUCUGCGGGUUGGAGAGAGGAGAUGGAGUGGCAAAGUAUCUCGCGAGCUUCCCUUUCUGUAUUCAAUCUCCAUCGAUCUACUAUAGCCGCCGCCUCCUCCUCGAUCCAUGUGGUCGCCCUUUGCCGCCGUCACCGGAGAGGCUCGCCUCCGCGGCCGCACGCCUUAGAUCCGGCGGGAGGAAAAGGAGGAAGAGCCCCGCACUGUCCUGUUCUCCGGCGGCGGCGACCUACGCGCGAGCGAUGGGAGGCGAGGAGGAGAAAGAGGCGAGGUGGUGGAGGAGCAGCCGAGGUCGACGACGGCGUCCUUGGACGAGCACACGCACGGAAGGGAGGGGGAGGGGUGCAGCCGCUCGUGCGGAUCGAGGGGAAGGAGAAAGGUGCUGAUGCUGCCGGCUACUUGGGGAAGGGGAUGCGGGCGACCUUGGGCGAGUUAAGAGACCUGAGGCGAGGCCGGCGGCGACCUAUGGAAGGAAGGGGACGCCGACGACCUUGGGAAGGAAGGGGAAGCCGGCGACCUUGGGAAGGAGGGAGAGGCCGGCGAAUUGGGGUAGGGGAUGCGGGUGACCUGGGGAAGGGCGGAUGGGAGCUGCUCAGGCCGUCGUUGCUGUCGGCAGCCGGCGGCCACCGCCCGUCGCUUGGAGGACGAGGGGAAUGGAGAAAGAGGAGUCGUAUCGGGAAGGAGUUUUGGGCGAUGGGACGAGGGGAACAGCAGCCGCACCAGGCGACAUGCCUCGCCUUGCCGCUUGGUGGCCGAGAUGAGGCCGCCCCAUGCUCUGUUCCGAUGGGCCUCCUCUGCUCGAUGGUUGCACUGGUUGAGUUUGGUACGGUUUCCUGUUGUCGGCUGCGUCGAGCCUUGGGUCUUGUCUCUCCUUCACAUUGA